rnacentral:rRNA from 1 species
GAGUUUGAUCGUGGCUCAGAGCGAACGCUGGCGGCAGGCUUAACACAUGCAAGUCGAGCGGGCGUAGCAAUACGUCAGCGGCAGACGGGUGAGUAACACGUGGGAACGUACCUUUUGGUUCGGAACAACUGAGGGAAACUUCAGCUAAUACCGGAUAAGCCCUAACGGGGAAAGAUUUAUCGCCGAAAGAUCGGCCCGCGUCUGAUUAGCUAGUUGGUGAGGUAAUGGCUCACCAAGGCGACGAUCAGUAGCUGGUCUGAGAGGAUGAUCAGCCACACUGGGACUGAGACACGGCCCAGACUCCUACGGGAGGCAGCAGUGGGGAAUAUUGGACAAUGGGGGCAACCCUGAUCCAGCCAUGCCGCGUGAGUGAUGAAGGCCCUAGGGUUGUAAAGCUCUUUUGCGCGGGAAGAUAAUGACGGUACCGCAAGAAUAAGCCCCGACUAACUUCGUGCCAGCCGCCGCAGUAAC